CAAUCUGAACCAGCGACUGAAAGUUCGACUGUAUCGGGAGAUGCAGAACAAGGGGGCAGUACUGUAGUG